AUUGAACGCUGGCGGCAGGCUUAACACAUGCAAGUCGAGCGGGGGAAGGUAGCUUGCUACUGGACCUAGCGGCGGACGGGUGAGUAAUGCUUAGGAAUCUGCCUAUUAGUGGGGGACAACAUCUCGAAAGGGAUGCUAAUACCGCAUACGUCCUACGGGAGAAAGCAGGGGAUCUUCGGACCUUGCGCUAAUAGAUGAGCCUAAGUCGGAUUAGCUAGUUGGUGGGGUAAAGGCCUACCAAGGCGACGAUCUGUAGCGGGUCUGAGAGGAUGAUCCGCCACACUGGGACUGAGACACGGCCCAGACUCCUACGGGAGGCAGCAGUGGGGAAUAUUGGACAAUGGGGGGAACCCUGAUCCAGCCAUGCCGCGUGUGUGAGGAAGGCCUUAUGGUUGUAAAGCACUUUAAGCGAGGAGGAGGCUACUUUAGUUAAUACCUAGAGAUAGUGGACGUUACUCGCAGAAUAAGCACCGGCUAACUCUGUGCCAGCAGCCGCGGUAAUACAGAGGGUGCGAGCGUUAAUCGGAUUUACUGGGCGUAAAGCGUGCGUAGGCGGCUUAUUAAGUCGGAUGUGAAAUCCCCGAGCUUAACUUGGGAAUUGCAUUCGAUACUGGUGAGCUAGAGUAUGGGAGAGGAUGGUAGAAUUCCAGGUGUAGCGGUGAAAUGCGUAGAGAUCUG
rnacentral:rRNA from 1 species